rnacentral:rRNA from 1 species
CCCUGUAAUUCUAUGGCUAAUACAUGCGCACAUGCCUCUUCCCUCGUGGAAGGGUAGUGUUUAUUAGAUACAGAACCAACCCACCUUCGGGUGGUCCUCAGGUGAUUCAUAGUAACCGAACGGAUCGCAUUAUGGCCUUUUGGUCGGCGAUGGAUCAUUCAAGUUUCUGACCUAUCAGCUUUCGACGGUACUGUAUUGGACUACCGUGGCAGUGACGGGUAACGGGGAAUUAGGGUUCGAUUCCGGAGAGGGAGCCUGAGAAACGGCUACCACAUCUAAGGAAGGCAGCAGGCGCGCAAAUUACCCAAUCCUGACUCAGGGAGGUAGUGACAAGAAAUAACAACACUGGAAAUUAUAUUUCUAGUGAUUGGAAUGAUGGGAAUCCAAACCCCUUUCAGAGUAACAAUUGGAGGGCAAGUCUGGUGCCAGCAGCCGCGGUAAUUCCAGCUCCAAUAGCGUAUAUUAAAGUUGUUGCAGUUAAAAAGCUCGUAGUUGGAUAUCUGCUGGAAGCAGCCAGUCCGCCCUUUGUGGGUGUGCACUUGGUGAAUUCUGGCAUCCUCCUGAUUGGUGUUAUCAUCACUUCAUUGUGUUGAUGGCAGCUGUCAGGACCGUUACUUUGAGAAAAUUAGAGUGUUUCAAGCAGGCUUGUUGCCUUGAAUACUGCAGCAUGGAAUAACAAGAUAGGAUUUCGGUUCUAUUUUGUUGGUUUCUAGGACUGAAGUAAUGAUUAAUAGGGACAGUUGGGGGCAUUCGUAUUUAACUGUCAGAGGUGAAAUUCUUAGAUUUGUUAAAGACGAACUACUGCGAAAGC